rnacentral:rRNA from 1 species
CCUACGGGGGGCAGCAGUGGGGAAUAUUGGACAAUGGGCGCAAGCCUGAUCCAGCCAUGCCGCGUGAGUGAUGAAGGCCCUAGGGUUGUAAAGCUCUUUUGUGCGGGAAGAUAGUGACGGUACCGCAAGAAUAAGCCCCGGCUCACUUCGUGCCAGCAGGCGCGGUAAUACGAAGGGGGCUAGCGUUGCUCGGAAUUACUGGGCGUAAAGGGUGCGUAGGCGGGUCCUUAAGUCAGGGGUGAAAGCCUGGAGCUCAACCCCAGAACUGCCUUUGAUACUGGGGAUCUUGAGUUCGGGAGAGGUGAGUGGAACUGCGAGUGUAGAGGUGAAAUUCGUAGAUAUUCGCAAGAACACCAGUGGCGAAGGCGGCUCACUGGCCCGAUACUGACGCUGAGGCACGAAAGCGUGGGGAGCAUACAGGAUUAGAUACCUCUGUAGUC